AGUUAAUUAACUUUUUAAAGUAUUUAUAUCUUGAAAAUAUAAAAAAGAAUAAUUUUCUAUUAACUU
rnacentral:tRNA from 1 species